rnacentral:lncRNA from 1 species
GCCACCAUUCGCUCGCUGCUGAUUCGCUCGCCCUCGCGCAUCAUUAUUGCCCCCCUGCCCCCGCCCCCGCGCGCGCUCCGUCGUCUGCCGGUGGCCACCGUGCGUACGUGCGUGUAGGAGGCGCUGCUGCCGAGCUCACCCACCGUAGCGCAUCGUCGCCGUCGCCCGUCGGUCGCCGCCUUCCUCGCCCAACUUAGGCAGGUCGCGCUCCCUCACUCGCCGCUCGCCGCGCUUAGCUCUAGCCUGCUCUGCUUGGGUGGGUGGGUCGUCUGUUGGUGUGGAUAAGUUUGGCCUUGCGAUGGGGGAGGCGCCGAAGCCCAAGUC